UGGAGUCAAAUAGACACGCCCUA
rnacentral:siRNA from 1 species